ACCCCUGUGAGAACGCCCUACAGCUCCCCACCCGGGAGCAAGGAGCUGGUAUCAGGCACACACAGUUAGCCCACAACACCUUGCUCAGCCACACCCCCAAGGGAAUUCAGCAGUGAUAAACAUUAAGCCAUAAGUGAAAACUUGACUUAGUUAAGGCUAAGAGGGCCGGUAAAAUACUCGUGCCAGCCACCGCGGUUAAACGAGAGGCCCAAGUUGUUAUCCUCCGGCGUAAAGAGUGGUUAAGGACUAAUUUCUACUAAAGCCGCACACCUUCAAAGCUGUUAUACGCCCCCGAAGAGUAGAAGCCCAACCACGAAGGUAGCUUUAUUACCCCUGACCCCACGAGAGCUCUGGCACAAACUGGGAUUAGAUACCCCACUAUGCUUAGCCCUAAACAUUGGCAUUCAAACUACACACAUGCCCGCCCGGGUACUACGAGCACCAGCUCAAAACCCAAAGGACUUGGCGGUGCUUUAGAUCCCCCUAGAGGAGCCUGUUCUAGAACCGAUAACCCCCGUUCAACCUCACCCUCCCUGGCCCAUCCCGCUUAUAUACCGCCGUCGUCAGCUUACCCUGUGAAGGACUAAUAGUAAGCAUAAGUGGCACAGCCCAAAACGUCAGGUCGAGGUGUAGCGUAUGGGAGGGAAAGAAAUGGGCUACAUUCCCUAACGCAGGGAACACGAAUUAAGAAUUGAAACAUGAAUUAUGAAGGAGGAUUUAGUAGUAAGCAAAAAUAGCACAUUUAGCUGAAACCGGCCCUGAAGCGCGCACACACCGCCCGUCACUCUCCCCAGGCUUUAGCUACACGGUUAAUUUAAGCCUACUCCGCUAUACAUUUAGGGGAGGCAAGUCGUAACAUGGUAAGGGUACCGGAAGGUGCACUUGGGACAAC
rnacentral:ncRNA from 1 species